rnacentral:rRNA from 1 species
AGUGAACGCUGGCGGUAGGCCUAACACAUGCAAGUCGAACGGCAGCACAGUAAGAGCUUGCUCUUACGGGUGGCGAGUGGCGGACGGGUGAGGAAUACAUCGGAAUCUACUUUUUCGUGGGGGAUAACGUAGGGAAACUUACGCUAAUACCGCAUACGACCUACGGGUGAAAGCAGGGGAUCUUCGGACCUUGCGCGAUUGAAUGAGCCGAUGUCGGAUUAGCUAGUUGGCGGGGUAAAGGCCCACCAAGGCGACGAUCCGUAGCUGGUCUGAGAGGAUGAUCAGGCAAACUGGAACUGAGACACGGUCCAGACUACUACGGGAGGCAGCAGUGGGGAAUAUUGGACAAUGGGCGCAAGCCUGAUCCAGCCAUACCGCGUGAGUGAAGAAGGCCGUCGGGUUGUAAAGCCAUUUUGUUGGGAAAGAAAAGCAGCAGGUUAAUACCCCGCUGUUCUGACGGUACCCAAAGAAUAAGCACCGGCUAACUUCGUG